UGAGUUAUGGGUGCCAGUUUCUGCA
rnacentral:piRNA from 1 species